AAGUCGUAACAAGGUUUCCGUAGGUGAACCUGCGGAAGGAUCAUUAACACGUAUCCAAACGUAAAAAACCCCCCCCGUGAACAUUCAAUCCUGCUCUUGUAACCCGCGUAGUUCGCAAUCUCUGGUAAAUCAUAGCCCGGAAAGUAGUUUUGAUUCAGAGACCUCUGGCUACGUGAGAACAUUGGAACAGUUACAAUCGAGCGGUAGUUUCAUAGGCAUUGUUUCCCCAAGCAGUCAGUGUCUGAAAGUGUCACUGAUUGUGCAAGGAUAGCGCUUCAACGAUUCCUGUAGACCGUACACUCGGGCCUUAUAACCCCACAGUUUAAUGUGAAGCUCAAUGUAAUACAUUGGGUAAAAAAACCGAACAACUGUUAACAAUGGAUAUCUUGGUUCUC
rnacentral:misc_RNA from 1 species